UAGCAACCCUGUCUAGUUGUUUAGAGACGUAGGCUACCGGCCUCAGCCAGGGCCCCACAGUUUGGGUUAAAAGUCCAGCUGCCAUCUUUUCUCUCUCUGACGCAUACAAUGGAAAAGGCUUUCUCAGAUCGGGUAGCCCCAGGGCUGGGGCUGCCAGAAGAUUUUCUUGUAACUCAUGAAAAACUGGCUGUUGUUGGGAUCCCCAUUUCAAAAGUUCUGGGUCCCCGCCCCCUUUGUGACCUCAUACAACGGCUUGGCUAAUACUGCAAAGUUUGGGAUCCACAGUCUACAAAACCCCACAGCUCCUAAGAAUUCUCUCACCUGCCUUCUGCCCUUAAGCUCCGGUAGAUUGCAAACAACCUGCUUUCUUUCUGUUCCUGAGCUGCGUUCGGACCCGUCGGAUAGUAAAUCCCAUGUAAGGUACCUGCCGUCGGAAGAUUUGAACUUUCUACUUCGACACCUAAUACCCACAGUCCUCCAGCUCCGGUAGAUUGCAAAUAACCUGCUUUCUUUCUGUUCCCGAGCUGCAUUCGGACCCGUCGGAUCGUAAAUCCCAUGUAAGGUACCUGCCGUCGGAAGAUUUGAACUUUGUACUUGGAUACCUAAUACCCACAGUCCUCCAGCUCCGGUAGAUUGCAAACAACCUGCUUUCUUUCUGUUCCUGAGCUGCGUUCGGACCCGUCGGAUAGUAAAUCCCAUGUAAGGUACCUGCCGUCGGAAGAUUUGAACUUUCUACUUCGACACCUAAUACCCACAGUCCUCCAGCUCCGGUAGAUUGCAAAUAACCUGCUUUCUUUCUGUUCCCGAGCUGCAUUCGGACCCGUCGGAUCGUAAAUCCCAUGUAAGGUACCUGCCGUCGGAAGAUUUGAACUUUGUACUUGGAUACCUAAUACCCACAGUCCUCCAGCUCCGGUAGAUUGCAAACAACCUGCUUUCUUUCUGUUCCUGAGCUGCGUUCGGACCCGUCGGAUAGUAAAUCCCAUGUAAGGUACCUGCCGUCGGAAGAUUUGAACUUUCUACUUCGACACCUAAUACCCACAGUCCUCCAGCUCCGGUAGAUUGCAAAUAACCUGCUUUCUUUCUGUUCCCGAGCUGCAUUCGGACCCGUCGGAUCGUAAAUCCCAUGUAAGGUACCUGCCGUCGGAAGAUUUGAACUUUGUACUUGGAUACCUAAUACCCACAGUCCUCCAGCUCCGGUAGAUUGCAAACAACCUGCUUUCUUUCUGUUCCUGAGCUGCGUUCGGACCCGUCGGAUAGUAAAUCCCAUGUAAGGUACCUGCCGUCGGAAGAUUUGAACUUUCUACUUCGACACCUAAUACCCACAGUCCUCCAGCUCCGGUAGAUUGCAAAUAACCUGCUUUCUUUCUGUUCCCGAGCUGCAUUCGGACCCGUCGGAUCGUAAAUCCCAUGUAAGGUACCUGCCGUCGGAAGAUUUGUACUUUGUACUUGGAUACCUAAUACCCACAGUCCUCCAGCUCCGGUAGAUUGCAAACAACCUGCUUUCUUUCUGUUCCUGAGCUGCGUUCGGACCCGUCGGAUAGUAAAUCCCAUGUAAGGUACCUGCCGUCGGAAGAUUUGAACUUUCUACUUCGACACCUAAUACCCACAGUCCUCCAGGCGCCACUGGGAUGAAGGGAGGGCAACACUGCAACUCUCCCCGCUCCUGCAAUAUCCAUGGCUAUUCUGUAGACAGAAAGACAACAGGUACAAAGCCCUAAGGAUUAUAAACGUAUGCUGCUUACCAUCAUCUUAGUGACCAAGGCAGCGAAGCUGUUUCUGUACCUUGGAACAGUCUUCCCUGACAAGCCAGAGAACAGCGAUAAAGCCACCAGCCUUGGGAUCAGGACUGAAAAGGCAAGAGUGAUGGAGAUUUCUCCUGCGCUAAGCCAAGAGAAGGUUUCAGCACCUCAGACAGCUCCCACCGAAGUAGCCGCGCUCCCAGCUGCUUGCAGAUGUUGAAAAGGAAAGCCUCGGUUUGUCUUGAGGUUGUCAGCAGUUGCCAAGACAUGUAAUAAAAUGCAAUGUGUUCCUAA